GCCUCUUUUUGUCAUCUGAUCUGGAAAGAAAAGAGAUGGUACCUGUUUUGAGGUACGCAGAGAUGGGAUUCCUCCUCUGAUGGGGUCAUGACAGCUGCGCCAAACAAGACAUUACCACACCAGAUUUAGCAGGAAAAUGAUUGUUGUGGGCAAUCCAAUACAGGAUCAAUGAUAAGAAUGCGGAUGUAACAUGCUGGCUGAACCAGUCUACUGCGAGGAAAUUGUUCUGAGCCAAGGCCAAUUCAAUAUGGGCUAAUUAUCAUUACACUUGAAUACUUGCAUUCAUAUCUUUAUAUCAGU